rnacentral:rRNA from 1 species
UACGUAGGGGGCAAGCGUUGUCCGGAAUCAUUGGGCGUAAAGCGCGUGUAGGCGGUUCGGUAAGUCGGCUGUGAAAGUCCAGGGCUCAACCCUGGGAUGCCGGUCGAUACUGCCGGACUAGAGUUCGGAAGAGGCGAGUGGAAUUCCCGGUGUAGCGGUGAAAUGCGUAGAUAUCGGAAGGAACACCUGUGGCGAAAGCGGCUCACUGGACCAUAACUGACGCUGAGGCGCGAAAGCUAGGGGAGCAAACAGG